UACGUAGGUGGCAAGCGUUGUCCGGAUUUACUGGGCGUAAAGAGCGCGCAGGCGGUCGUUCAAGUCGCGUGUGAAAGCCCCCGGCUCAACUGGGGAGGGUCACGCGAUACUGAUCGACUCGAAGGCAGGAGAGGGAAGUGGAAUUCCCGGUGUAGUGGUGAAAUGCGUAGAUAUCUGGAGGAACACCGGUGGCGAAGGCGGCAUCCUGGACCGGCAUUGACGCUGAGGAGCGAAAGCCAGGGGAGCAAACGGG
rnacentral:rRNA from 1 species